GUUAAUCGUAUACUCAGUGCAUUUAAUACCAGACACAACGUUGGAUUGUUUGGAAUAUUAUUGCGUUACAUAGGACGUAAGAUCAGAAUUGGCUUUUUUCCUUCUGCCAUUGACCGUACUAUAGUGCACAUGUCUCUCGAUUUUGGUCUCUGUUGUUCUCAAUGAUGAGCCGCUAACGACAUACAGCCCGGUUUUUUGGACAUCCAGACCAUCGGAUGGAUCUUAUCGGAGACCGCAUAUUCUUUUCUUAUUUUAUAAUUUUGUUUAUAUAAUGGUUGGGUGUGGUACUCCUUCUAGAAUCAGUCUCCUAUCUGUAAAGACAGUCCGCAGGUCACAUUGUCUAGGGCGGAACCCCAACUAGACGAAGCCUAAUUAGACAACAUUUUACGUUGACUGUCUGUUUUCGUUUUAAUAUCAUUUACAAGAUGACUAAUAUUGGAUAACAAAGGCUAUAGCCACUGUGAAAUGUCAAUGAAAAAAUACAAUGAACAUAUGCAUAAUAUUUUUAGUGAAAACGAAAAAUUAUUUAUAUUAGAAUUGUUACUUUAAUUGUAAUAAGCUUUUAAUAAAAAAAAAGAGCUAUAUCUCCUAAAAAUGAAAAAUAAA